rnacentral:rRNA from 1 species
CGGAGGGUGCAAGCGUUAUCCGGAUUUACUGGGUUAAAGGGUGCGUAGGUGGGCAGGUAAGUCAGUGGUGAAAUCUCCGGGCUUACCCGGAAACUGCCAUUGAUACUAUCUGUCUUGAAUAUCCUGGAGGUGAGCGGAAUAUGUCAUGUAGCGGUGAAAUGCUUAGAUAUGACAUAGAACACCAAUUGCGAAGGCAGCUCACUACGGGAUUAUUGACACUGAGGCACGAAAGCGUGGGGAUCAAACAGGAUUAGAUACCCUGGUAGUCCACGCCCUAAACGAUGGAUACUCGACAUACGCGAUACACUGUGUGUGUCUGAGCGAAAGCAUUAAGUAUCCCACCUGGGAAGUACGAUCGCAAGAUUG